GGAAAAGAGGAGUGGCGAACGGGUGAGUAACACGUGGGUAACCUGCCCAUCAGAAGGGGAUAACACUUGGAAACAGGUGCUAAUACCGUAUAACAAUCGAAACCGCAUGGUUUCGUUUUGAAAGGCGCUUUACGGUGCCGCUGAUGGAUGGACCCGCGGUGCAUUAGCUAGUUGGUGAGGUAACGGCUCACCAAGGCCACGAUGCAUAGCCGACCUGAGAGGGUGAUCGGCCACAUUGGGACUGAGACACGGCCCAAACUCCUACGGGAGGCAGCAGUAGGGAAUCUUCGGCAAUGGACGAAAGUCUGACCGAGCAACGCCGCGUGAGUGAAGAAGGUUUUCGGAUCGUAAAACUCUGUUGUUAGAGAAGAACAAGGGUGAGAGUAACUGUUCACCCCUUGACGGUAUCUAACCAGAAAGCCACGGCUAACUACGUGCCAGCAGCCGCGGUAAUACGUAGGUGGCAAGCGUUGUCCGGAUUUAUUGGGCGUAAAGCGAGCGCAGGCGGUUUCUUAAGUCUGAUGUGAAAGCCCCCGGCUCAACCGGGGAGGGUCAUUGGAAACUGGGAGAC
rnacentral:rRNA from 1 species